CACGUAGGGUGCGAGCGUUGUCCGGAAUUAUUGGGCGUAAAGAGCUCGUAGGCGGUGUGUCGCGUCGGCCGUGAAAACCUGCAGCUUAACUGUGGGCUUGCGGUCGAUACGGGCAUCACUGGAGUUCGGUAGGGGAGACUGGAAUUCCUGGUGUAGCGGUGAAAUGCGCAGAUAUCAGGAAGAACACCCGUGGCGAAGGCGGCUCUCUGGGACGGUACUGACGCUGAGACGCGAAAGCGUGGGGAGCGAACAGG
rnacentral:rRNA from 1 species